CCUACGGGAGGCAGCAGUGGGGGAUAUUGCACAAUGGGGGGAACCCUGAUGCAGCGACGCCGCGUGGGUGAAGAAGCGCCUCGGCGCGUAAAGCCCUGUCAGCAGGGAAGAAAAUGACGGUACCUGAAGCAGAAGCCCCGGCUAACUACGUGCCAGCAGCCGCGGUAAUACGUAGGGGGCAAGCGUUAUACGGAUUUACUGGGUGUAAAGGGGGCGCAGGCGGCGAUGCAAGGCAGGAGUGAAAGCCCGGGGCCAAACCCCAGGACUGCUCUUGGAACUGCGUGGCUGGAGUGCAGGAGGGGCAGGCGGAAUUCCUGGUGUAGCGGUGAAAUGCGUAGAUAUCAGGAGGAACACCGGUGGAGAAGGCGGCCUGCUGGACUGCAACUGACGUUGAGGCCCGAAAGCGUGGGGAGCAAACAGGAUUAGAUACCCCUGUAGUC
rnacentral:rRNA from 1 species